rnacentral:lncRNA from 1 species
CGGAACUUUCAAAACCCCCGGGCGGAGAAAGGGCGUGGCGAGUGGUGCCUGGGAGCCGGCGUUGAACCGGCGGGAUGACUAGCAACCGAGCCUUUUUCGAGGUUCUUAGAGAUGAUUUUAACAGCACUGGCUUGACAGAUUUGUAACUGGGGAUCCCCUGGAAGAAUCGUCUGGAAAUUACGACCUUCAUCUGGCGAUUGCAGCUGUUAAAGUCUCCAAAGAAGCCAUUCUUACAUUGUGUUGUGAAAUUAUUACUCUAUCUCAAAUCUGUGCCAGAAAGAAAAUAAA